rnacentral:rRNA from 1 species
AUUGAACGCUGGCGGCAGGCCUAACACAUGCAAGUCGAGCGGAUGAAGGGAGCUUGCUCCUGGAUUCAGCGGCGGACGGGUGAGUAAUGCCUAGGAAUCUACCUGGUAGUGGGGGAUAACGUCCGGAAACGGGCGCUAAUACCGCAUACGUCCUGAGGGAGAAAGUGGGGGAUCUUCGGACCUCACGCUAUCAGAUGAGCCUAGGUCGGAUUAGCUAGUUGGUGGGGUAAAGGCCUACCAAGGCGACGAUCCGUAACUGGUCUGAGAGGAUGAUCAGUCACACUGGAACUGAGACACGGUCCAGACUCCUACGGGAGGCAGCAGUGGGAAAUAUUGGACAAUGGGCGAAAGCCUGAUCCAGCCAUGCCGCGUGUGUGAAGAAGGUCUUCGGAUUGUAAAGCACUUUAAGUUGGGAGGAAGGGCAGUAAGUUAAUACCUUGCUGUUUUGACGUUACCAACAGAAUAAGCACCGGCUAACUUCGUG